UACGUAGGGUGCGAGCGUUGUCCGGAAUUACUGGGCGUAAAGGGCUCGUAGGCGGUUUGUCGCGUCGGGAGUGAAAACACUGGGCUUAACCGAGUGCUUGCUUUCGAUACGGGCAGACUUGAGGCAUUCAGGGGAGAACGGUAUUCCUGGUGUAGCGGUGAAAUGCGCAGAUAUCAGGAAGAACACCCGUGGCGAAGGCGGCUCUCUGGGACGGUACUGACGCUGAGACGCGAAAGCGUGGGGAGCGAACAGG
rnacentral:rRNA from 1 species